CCGCGUCCCCAAGUCAGGCGUGAAUACCCGCUGAGUUUAAGCAUAUCACUAAGCGGAGGAAAAGAAACUUACCAGGAUCCC
rnacentral:rRNA from 1 species